GGAGCUGAUGAGUCAGCAGUGGCGGUGGCGUGGAAGCCAUGACCGCCACUAAACACUGCACCUGAACUGGCUGAGGUGGUAGCUGUUAAAGUCUGAAAGAAAAUAUAACUGUAAGCAGGUCACAGAAAUACAGGGCGAACAAAUAGUAAAGCGACAGGAUAAAGCGGAGGUGUGAGUCCAUCUGUCGUCACCGCAACAAAAUACCCGAGGAAAUGUGGAAAACCUUGUGCUGUCUCCUGCUUCAGAGGCACCAGCCCUAGGUCACGCUCAGCCUGGGCCUGUGGUGAGAUCCACCUCACAGCAGAAGUUUGUGUUGCUCUCUCACACUAACGGUUUGAGAAUUUGAUCCCUUCUGCUACCUAGAAGCUGGUUGCCCCUGAGGUCCCUCCUUCCUCUAGCAUACCACUCCUCAGAAUGUCCAGAGAUGACGCUGCAAGGACCCGUCUGUGACGAACUAGGGCACUGAGGAGAGCGUUCUCCAGGUUCCUUCCUCUUCCUGCGUUGCCAUUGUUACCGUGUGACAUUCCAGGGUAGGAGAGGACACCGAGAGUCAGGAGAGACAACAGCACACUCCGCCCAUUUCAAUAAAGAGAAAAGCAAUCUCGAGAAAGCAAACGACCCCUGCCAACCCUCGGUUGGAAUCUCAGGACUCUGACUGCGUAUGCUCUACCCAGUGGAAACGUUCGCCACAUGGGCUGGGGAGAUGACUGGCUUGGGUGAAGCACUUGCUACACAGCCCAAGGACCUGAAAUCAGAACCCCAGAACCCUUAGAAAGACUGGCGUGGCUCCCAGCACCCUACAGGAAAGUGGGAAGCAGCGACAAGAACAUUUCUUGGCAAACUGGGAAGGAGGAGGAGUCCCCAACUGGAACAAGGUGAGGGCCGACACCCAAGGUUGUUCUCCACCCUCCACCCAUGUGCUGUGGCAUGCACUAGUCUCUACUCACACCCACAAACAUAGGUCAUCAAACACAGGCUCGCAGUGUGGCGGGUGGGGAGAGGGAGAGAGAGGUGGGUUUUUUUAGUUUGGUUUGGUUUGGUUUGGUUUGGUUUGGUUUGGUUUGGUUUUUUAAAGAACUUGAGAACCUAUGGGGCUUAAUGUUUGAAGAAACCACUGAAAUAAAGUGCAAAGAAAAGCCAUACUAGAUGAAGAGAAAGGGGACAACAUUUGAAAUGUAAAUAAAGAAAAUAUAUAAUAAAAACAAAAAGAGUAAAGAAAUAGCUGAAGGGAAGAGAAGGAGCAACUGACCUGGGCACAUGCUUCCAGGGGGCUCUGCCUUGGAGAAGAAUGACCUGGGUUCCAUUUGGAACAUGUGGGGAGCUAGCUGCAUGGUGAAUCCCCUGAAUUUGAUCAUUACAUAAAAGCUACAGAAGAGAAGAAACGGUCCUGUACUUGAUGGAGUUCGUGGGCUGGAAGGUCUCUGUGCCCCACUCUCUGUUUGUUCAGAAAGAAGUGAGAAAAGUGCAUGCAUGCGCCAUGGCGGCAGUGGCAGGUCCUGAGAGAGCAGACUGUGGCACACAACAUCAGCUCAAUGUGCCUGUAGCUUUUCUGAAGCCUGAACAUUUUUCUAAGAUGAAGAGUGUAAAAGGAUAGGUAAGAACACACCUGUGGGGAUGGAGAGAUGACUCCGCAGUUUAAAAGCACUAACUGCUCUUCCAGAGGUCCUGAGUUCAAAUCCCAGCAACCACAUGGUGGCUCACAGCAAUCUGUAAUGGGAACUGGUAACCUCUUCUGGUGUGUCUGAAGACAGCGA
rnacentral:lncRNA from 1 species